AGAAGGCAAGUCGACACUUCGUGUACAAAAAUUAUGUACAUCACAUAUUUGAAGAGCUAGCGUUUUCCAGUAAUGUUGCCACAGAACAAGAAAGGAGGGAGGAUUCAAGCGAAAUGCAGAUAAGUUGUUGAACGAUUUUUGUCUUUUUUAUUUAUUACGUAUUUCAUGAAAAAUAAAUGAACAGAUAAAUUUAUUGUCCGCUCAAGCUAACGAGUUAUUUCAAAUACUUAUCCCUGCGUUAUUUAUGUCGAACAAUCAUUUGUUAUUUUAUACCAAAAAAAACUGGGAAAAAAAAGGAAACUUCCGGUUUUUUUUAGUAACAACCAUCAUUCUUUGUUUACCAGUUUUGAAGACAUUGUGUCGGUUGAUGAUUCACAUGUCAUGGCCAAGAUUCGACAAGUCACAAAAUUGUCAUAAUUAAGGAAGAAAACACAUAUUUUUCACACUGCUUAUACAGUCGAACCUGUAAGACUACCCUAAGCAAACAAAGAAAAUGUCUUUGAAUAUUUGAUGAACAACGGGCUCAAUGCGUGCAUAUUUUCUUAUUUUUUAACGCUUAGCCUUACAUUUAAAAAAUCAAACAACACCAAAAACAUAGAAAGAGCGGAUUGUUUCACAUGAAAAUUAAAACAUAUCAAAGCAUGUAUAUUACUCUAAAUAACUUUUGUCAGUUUACUAAUAUGUACAUUGAAUUCCGGAUAAGAACUGCAUCAAGGAGCCACACUUCCGUACAAUUCGACGCCUUUAGAAAACAAUAGAAAACUAUGCUGGUAUUGGAUAAAGUAGUUCGAAUAAGUUAUUUGGUAGCAAUACCUGAAGGUAAGUAGACAGGUAAAAGCUAAAUGUUAUCAAACCGUCGUCUUUGGUCCCUUUUGUUCUACCAUAUACGAUGUAGAUUACAUAUCGGCUUAUGACCAAAAUAUUGGUGUUAAUGCUUGUUAUUAAACUGUUGUAAAAGCGGUCAGGUAGAAGCUAAAUGCUAUUAAACCGUUGUCUUUGGUCCAUUAAAGGCUUCCUAUUUUGUUCUCUACCAUAUACGAUACAGACUAUAAUUAUUAAUCUGUUUUGCUGUGGCUGUUGUAAAAGCGUAUUUCUAAAGAGGUGAUAUUGGUCGAACCGAAUUGAACGGCAUAUGUCAUACAAAGUUUGGUUUCGAACUGCACGGCUGUGCUUUCUGUGCUAGAUGCUUCCUGUGCAUGCAUGUAUUUAAUACUACGUAAGAAAGUAACUCCGUAAUAUAUUAUCAAUGGAUUAGUCGUGUGGGUAUUGCAGUUACAUUGAUUCUUGUGUAUCUUAUCCGCAUACAUAUCUUACUGCUGCAAUCUAGUUAAUAAUAUUAGUCUACAGUGCCAAACGUAGGGCUGUGCGUUUUGUGACGUUAUUGUACAGUUUUUCUAUUAUGAAGAUAUUUGACUGUGCGACGUUAGGCUCAACAAAUUAAAUGUAUGAAUUAGCUAUUUGAUUUUUUUUUCUUUUAUUUAGAUGUUCGCGUAUGUUGCUUCUACUUUAUAAAUAUCUUUCCAUAGGUGUUACGCUGUUUAUACGCGCUAUUAUAAUGGAGCUAAGGGAGAAGCGCUGUCGAUUCAAACAAUACACUAGGAGUAGCAGGGUUCCAUGAGAACAUUUUCAAAAAAAAUCAAGCAGCACACUAAGAUUGGCGGAUGCCUUGGGAAGCACUGUCAAAUCAAACGGUACACUGGCAGUGGUGGAGUGGCAUUACCUCGGUGGAGUUGGUUCACCUUAGACUGGACUUCAUAGCGUUCUUGGUUAUCGGAUACAUCUUCAGCUGACAUACCUAGAUUGUCAUACGUCUCUUCUUCAAAUGUCUUAUCUAAAGGCGGAGUUUGCAAUCGCCGUCUGUUAUAAUUGUCCACUAAACUGAGGAGUAAAGCAGACGAUAACAAAUUUAAAAUCAAACACGCCAUGUCAGCUAUUGCAACAAGUAUUUAAAACUUACAUGUGAUGAAAAGGAUGAUCACUGGAGAUUUCACGCUGUUUACUGACGGUAUAUUAAAAGCCUCACAGUGGAAUCUCACAGAUUUAAACGAGGUAUCAUUUACAAUAAAAUUCAGUUCGCUAACAAUCUGUGAGAGAUUUGUCUGUCUGUCAGUGAACACAGUGUCCCUUGAAGACAACACCGAGUGGUUCUUAUUGAUAAACCACUGAACUGUUGGAACAGGAUCACUGUACGAAGUGGUACAAGACAAAUUGAUCGUGUCUCCAAACGAUACACUAUGCCGACUAGUGUGUAUGGACACUUCCGAUACAGCAACUAUAACAAAACACAACAAGGCGAUGAAAGUUAGGAGAAAUAUUCCCACAGAGAAAAAGCUAAGAACUUCAUUACUGUACAAUUACACCACCGCCUCGUAAGCUGUUUCAAAUCUAAUUCUAAUUUGUAUACAAAAGUCUUCAAAACAUUGAAUACAAUUGUACCUCCAACAAGGAUUCUUACACGUUCCGAUACAAAUCUGAGGUCACCAUAUGCAAGUUGAAGCCGGCAAGAUAUAGUUGAACCAUUAUGUUUUCUGACAUCAGGGAUAAAAGUUAAUCUAGAUAUGGUCAUAUAUCUCCCUGUAUUACUCAUCUGGUAGGUGUCUGUGACAUUGUAUUCAAGAAGAAAAUUCCAUGUGAUAGUCUGUCUUGGAAUGGAUGGACCGGCAACACAAACUAAAUCAGUUGAAACACCGCUGUUGACAAUAAUUUGGUCGCCUGUGUGGGAACUAUUAAGGAAUUGCAAUUCACCUGUUCCUGCAAAUACAUUACUGUUAAUAACAUAUUUAUAAUUUAAUAUUUUGGAUGUGCUAUUCUCAUGUUUUAACAUAAUAUUGUGUUUUAAAUAGGAGCUCUAAAAUGAAUUUCUGUCACAUGUUACUUUCCUGGUGGUGGAAAAGCUAUUUAUUCCGAAUAAUACACUGUACGAUACUCUGCAACUUUCCCAGGAAUAUCUUAAGACAUAACAGCAAGUGAGUACAUUCAGUACGAAUGAAAAAAUACCGAUUUCUCCGCAAACGAGGUAUGUAGUCGUAUUGGCGUCGUCAAAGCCUGAUGGGUUAUAAACUACACCCGAAUCUGUCACAGUAAACUGACAGUGACCAACGUUUCUCUCAUUUCCGUCACAUUUGACAGAUGUUACCAUUUGUGCGUUCUUGAAAAUCACACUGUCGGUUUUCACUCUAUAAGUAUUUCUGCAGUAAUGAGGAAUGUCGUUUAAAGAAAACAUACAUAAAAGUAAAAACAACUGAAGAUCCUUUUUGUAUGUCGUCUUUUGUCGAAAGGGUCAAGACGUUUAUGCCACAGAGGUGAAGGCACCGGGUUCGAUUCCUAGCUUCUCUCAUUGCGAUGUGUCUUUUGGCAUGACACUUUAUCACGAUUGCCUCAGUCGACCCAGCUGUAGGUGUGCACCAGUAAAUUGCUGACGGCGAACUUCGAGAUUAUCUGAAGAGGCAGGUUCUUAGAGAAAUGAUAUCAUCAAUUUGUUAAUUCAUUAAUGACAUGUCUUUGCGAAGAAUGUAACUUUUACAAACAACACAACACGACUUAUUCUAUUGGACACAAAGUAUUAUGGUCAAAAAGCAAAAUAUUUAACCUUUAUUUCAAGUGUGAUAUUGAUACAACAUCAUACAAGUAAAACAAAUUUUAUAUACUUUUCAAUAUCUUUUUUCCCUUGAAACUACCUGUUACAUUUUGGUAUAUAUUAUUGUAGAAAAAAUAUACGGGUGCACCCAUAUUAUAAUCUACUGAA